rnacentral:rRNA from 1 species
UGAGGAAUCUUGCGCAAUGGGGGAAACCCUGACGCAGCAACGCCGCGUGAGUGAGGAAGGUCUUCGGAUCGUAAAGCUCUGUCAGAUGGGAAGAAAUGCACGGGGGCCAAUACCCCUCCUGCUUGACGGUACCAUCAGAGGAAGCACCGGCUAACUCCGUGCCAGCAGCCGCGGUAAUACGGGGGGUGCAAGCGUUGUUCGGAAUCAUUGGGCGUAAAGAGCGUGUAGGCGGCUUGAUCAGUCAGAUGUGAAAGCCCCGGGCUUAACCCGGGAAGUGCAUUUGAAACUGUCAUGCUCGAGUAGGGGAGAGGGAAGUGGAAUUCCUGGUGUAGAGGUGAAAUUCGUAGAUAUCAGGAGGAACACCGGUGGCGAAGGCGACUUCCUGGCCCUAUACUGACGC